CACGAGUUACGAAGGCGGCACAUUUAAUGUCUGGCAAUGAUGGGGAAGUUGAAUGGGAAGCGUUCGGGUUAAGCUUCAGAUAUUUAUCAGCUUGGGUCCUUCCUUUGGGCUUCCAGUUUUAAUUUACCUCAUUAGUCCAAUUACUUACCACCUGGGCCUUGAUAAAGUUUAAGUUGGGCCUCUUUUGAUUUUAUUAAAAC
rnacentral:lncRNA from 1 species